GAUGAACGCUGGCGGCGUGCUUAACACAUGCAAGUCGAACGAGAAGUGAAGACGGAAACCUUCUGGCGGAAGGCUUUAUUUCGAGUGGCGGCCGGGUUAGUCACGCGUGGGUAACCUGCCUCAUACAGGGGGAUAACAGUUGGAAACGACUGUUACUACCGCUUAAGACCACAGCACCGCAUGGUGCGGGGGUAAAAACUCCGGUGGUAUGAGAUGGACCCGCGUUCGAUUAGCCAGUUGGCGGGGGAACGGCCCACCAAAGCGACGAUCGAUAGCCGAUCUGAGAGCAGGCCCGGCCAGAUUGGGACUGAGGCACGGCCCAAACUCCGACGGGAGGCAGCAGUGGGGAAUAUUGCGCGAUGGGGGAAAACCUGAUGAAGCGGCGCGGCGUGAGUGAAGAAGUAGGUCGGUAUGUAAAGCUCUAUCAGAAGGGAAGAAAAUGACGGUACCUGAGAAAGAAGCCCCGGCUAACUACGUG
rnacentral:rRNA from 1 species